rnacentral:tRNA from 1 species
GGUUUCGUGGUGUAGUGGUUAUCACACCUGCUUUACACGCAGAAGGUCCCCGGUUCGACCCAGGGCGAGACCU